rnacentral:lncRNA from 1 species
UUUAGAAUACUGUCCUUUCUGUCAGGCCUGUUACAUUUCCCCACAUUCUGUUUUCACACCAUAACCUUGAACUUGAAACAUGCUGGUGUCUGAAACAAGUAUAAUAGACAAGAUGAAAGUUUGGAGCCAAGGUGAAGACACAUUUUUACUUAAUGCCAGGCAGCCAUGUAUAAGAACCAUUAUUUAUUUAUUUAUUUAUUUAUUUAUUUAUUUAUUUAUAUGAGCGUUGACUCUGCCCCAUGCCAGCUGCAGUACUUGGGGGCACACUACCCAGGAAGCACAGUAGUGCUGGCCCUGGAUGCAUGAAUUGAGGGUGAGCCAGCAAGAGGGUGUAAGUGUGGGAGAGCUGGCCCAGCCACUCAUGUGGUAGCAUGAAUGAGGGAAAGAUGCCUACCUCACCCCCCUCACCACCUGCAGCAGGUGGAAGAACUGGCCCUGGGGUCAUGAGAGCAAGAGAGCUGUCUCUGCCCCUCAGUGUCUGCAGCACAUAGGACAGUGGGUGCUGUACCUCACCUGAGCAGCACAGUGUAGCUGACCCUGGUGUCAGGGGUGUGUGGGGGUCAGCCCCAAGGGCGGGAGCAUGGGAGAGCUGGCCCUGCAACUUGGAUGCUGUGCAGAGGCGAGAGAGAGAGAGAGAGAGAGAGAGAGAGAGAGAGAGAGAGAGAGAGAGCUCAUACUGCUCCUAACCCCCACCCCACCCCUAUCCCACUACAUCUAUGGCCAGGGUCAUGAGAGUGGGAGAACUGGUCCUAUCUCUCAUUGGCUGCAACACUUGGGAGAGGGGUCCUACACCUCACCUGUGCAACAAAGUAGAGCUGGCCCUGGUUGUAGAGGUUGGUGUGAAUCAGCUCGGAGGGCCUGAGAUGGGGAGAGCCCCAUCCAUAGCCCCUGCCCCUUGCUCGCUGCAGCAUUGGAUGACCUAGCCGAGGCUAGGAGAGCCCAUUCUCACCAGAAUGAAUAUGGGCGAGCUGGCAGGCUCAGUAGCUCAGAUGCUUCUCAGACCCAGAUCCAGGGUUGAGUUGGCCCCUACCUCAACAUCUACCCCAUCAAUAAACUGCUGGGGCAUGGGAAGGGGUUGGCCCUACAGAUCCAAAACUAUAGGAUCCCCAUGACAUAGGACAACAACAAGAUAUCCAAGAGGAGUCCCGAUGAGUCCCAAAAUUGAUAGUGUAGCAGAAGCCUGAGGCCUUGAAACAAACCAGUGACUCAUUGAAACUGACAUUUGCAAGCAAAGAAGUGUGGACAAAGAGUACACUGUGGGACACACUAUAGCUUCCACAAUGAUAUUUUUAUUUUAUUUUUGGGAGGGAGGAAGUUCUAAGAGUGGGGGGCAGGUAUGAGGAGCUGGGGAGAUGAAAGGGAUUGGAGUAAAAGGUGUGAAAUUCACAAAUAACCAAUAAAAAGUAAAAAGCAAAAUAGAAUAAAAUAAAAUGCUGUUUAUAGCCUACAGGAAGUCAUCAUAAUUUAUUGGGCAGAGAUUUCCCUAUCAAUUACCAUACAUAAAAUAAUGGCAUAUUAUCGGCACAUUACUAAUGAUGUCUUAAAUCCAGCAAAAUGUGGUAUUUAAAUUUUUGAUUCUAGACCCUCCUAGGAUUGAUAUAUUGAGAUGAAAAGAAAAAAGAAAAGUUGGAACGGUUAAUUUUUAAUAACCUUGUGGCUUUUUGUUGCUUUUGGAGGAGCUGGCACAGCAACUGCAUCUUGUUUCAAGACAGCAUCUCAUCAUGAAACCUAAGUUGUCCUAAAACUUAAGAUCCUCCGGCCUCAGCUUCCCUGGGAUUACAAACAAAUAACUACCAAGCCCAGCAUGACAACUCUCCCUUGUCUCUGAACAACAUUCUCUAAAGACAUCAGUGAUUUACCAUCCGGUGAUUUGUGCUCCAUUGUCCCAUUACACUAGGAAAAGGUAUUGAUCCUAGUUGGUCUGAUUUGAUCCCAUGUUAUGGGUGGGCAGGAGACAAGUGUCAAAAGUUCUUGCCAACAAACCACUUAGGUCUAGUUUGAAGCAGCUGGGGUAUAGAAGGAGUAGCUCUUAAGUCGGACACACUUGAAUUAUAUUCUGUUUGUCCUGUGGAUGAUGUUCUAGCAUUUCAAAAAUGGUGUUCAGGUUUCUUUAUCAGAAGCUAUGUUUCUGUGAACAUUGCUACUUAGUAUAGAGUAUUUACAAGUAUAUAUAUUGUAUUUCCUGCACUGAGUGGGGUUACUUAAACUCCUCAGCCUGUCCCAAGGCUAGGUCUGCUCUCCCCGUUCUCAGGUUGGCUCUGGCUAUAGCCAUGGACUCCUAACACCAUUAUCCUGUCUCCUUCAUGGAGACCCUCAGACUGCAGAGACUACACAGCACCGAGCAAUACCACCUAUUGAUAAUGUUGCAUGUAUUAUCCUAGCACACUUUCAACUCUGUGGCUUUUGCAUAAUACGACCUUUAGAUACAUGGCUAUAAAUGUUUUUAGUCACAGAUGCGUAGAGCAUUAAAUGUACUAAAAUCAGUUUAAAAUUGUUACUUAUAAAGCAGUCAUGUACAGGAAUAUGUCAACACACACUGAUUCUAAACUGACUCCUGAUUUUGUUAAAGCAGUUUACUGGGUGGCCAAAACACAAACAG